rfam:Salmo salar isolate Sally breed double haploid chromosome ssa10, whole genome shotgun sequence.
UGCAUUCACUACUGUAAGGCGCUCUGGAUAAGAGCGUCUGCUAAAUGACUAAAA